UGGGGAAUAUUGGACAAUGGGCGCAAGCCUGAUCCAGCAAUACCGCGUGUGUGAAGAAGGCCUGAGGGUUGUAAAGCACUUUCAGUGGGGAGGAAAAAGGGCUGGUUAAUACCUGGUCUAUUGACAUUACCCACAGAAGAAGCACCGGCUAACUCCGUGCCAGCAGCCGCGGUAAUACGGAGGGUGCGAGCGUUAAUCGGAAUUACUGGGCGUAAAGCGUGCGUAGGCGGUGCGUUAAGUUAGAUGUGAAAGCCCCGGGCUUAACCUGGGAACGGCAUUUAAGACUGGCGCGCUAGAGUUGGGUAGAGGGAAGUGGAAUUUCCGGUGUAGCGGUGAAAUGCGUAGAUAUCGGAAGGAACACCAGUGGCGAAGGCGGCUUCCUGGACCUGAACUGACGCUG
rnacentral:rRNA from 1 species